GGCUGCUGUCGGGGACGCACCAGGAGGGAGCACCCUAGUCAGGUACUUGAAUGGAGGUUGUCCAUGGUGUGUUCAUUUUAUUUAUGAUGAGUAUUACAUGGCCAAUCUCCUUUCGGUACUAAGUUCUUCUUGGGGAGGCUCCACAAGUGGACGUCCAGCCGGCUGCCGUGCGGGCUGGCCGCGACGGGGACUCGGGAUGCAGAGCCCACCUGGGGAGGAGGGGGCUUCCUCACGGCAGACCUGGGGGCUUCAAAGAAGCUUUUCCUGGUGUGACUUGGUUGUCCCUGGCGUACGCUAAGGAGCCCUGACAGCACCUCUGACGCCCUGGUGUUGCCUAGCGGGACUUCCUGGAGGAGAGAGCAGCGCUGGGACAGGUCUGGUGUUCACGGCAUGUUAGGGUGACAGCCGCCGACCCGGCACGGGCCUGGUCCGCGCACUGUGUGUGUGCUCCCCCCCGCCCCGCCCUGCAGCCAGCUCAGAAUGGGCAAGCUGGCCACCAGAAAGCCUGACGAGCUGUCCGACCGGCCGGGGGGGUCUCCUGGAGGCCGCGUCCCCGCGGAGGAGCGGCGCUGGUGCUCGGGCCCCGCUGACCUUUGAUCCUUGAGCAGAGGUUGCCCUUGGUGAAUUCGCUUUAUUGAUGUUGAAUCACACAAAGGCAACUUUUGUUUGAGCAUCAAAUCCUGCUUGGGAUGGCUGCCGGGACCCAGCGGCAAGUGCGGGUCUACACCUGUCCCGUGUGUCUGCACCUCUCCGGGACGAGCAUGGAUGUGGAGCAGCGGACAAAGCUUAGUCCUUCGUGGGGGCCCGAAGGGAUGAUGUCGGCGGUCAGCCCGGUUCAGUUCUCACCUCGAUACCGCUCACGUGGCCACGGAUCCCAGAGGCAGUCGGCUGCACCACAUUUUGUCGGAAGAUGCUGUGACCUCGUGGGCAAAAGCUCACGCCCGACGGCGCCAGCGAGGGCUGCCAUCUCCUUCCCCGCCUCCCCCGCUCCCUCUUUGCUGGUGGACGUGCCACGGCCCACGUUCUGUCUGCGCGUCCCCUCUGCUCCUCGCCUCUGCUGCACUCCCUGUGCUGCCCACCCCCCAGACGGGAGUCUCAGUUUUCCCAUGGGUUCCAUCCCCUCUCCAACCCUAGCACUGGUGCCUCUAGGUGCCCCUGCCAGGGACAGGCCCUUCCUUGGUGCCCAGGGCCACUUGGUCAUGAGCCUCGUUUGGGACGUCGUGGGGCCGCAGCCACGGCCCAGAGAGGAGGCUGUCACUGGCCUGAGUGCUUUCUCUGCAACCGACUUUGCACGAUGGGUUUCUUUCCAGAUGCGCUUGGAAACAUUACCAGAGCUGAGCCACUCCCAGGAGGUGGCCGGCGGCUGGAAGCCUCUCGGGGGGCGGGGGGCGUGUGUGCGGGUGCAGCCCCCAGGACGUGCCUGA
rnacentral:lncRNA from 1 species